rnacentral:rRNA from 1 species
GACGAACGCUGGCGGCGUGCUUAACACAUGCAAGUCGAACGGAAAGGUCCUGCUUUUGUGGGGUGCUCGAGUGGCGAACGGGUGAGUAACACGUGAGUAACCUGCCCUUGACUUUGGGAUAACUUCAGGAAACUGGGGCUAAUACCGGAUAGGAGCUCCUGCUGCUUGGUGGGGGCUGGAAAGUUUCGGCGGUUGGGGAUGGACUCGCGGCUUAUCAGCUUGUUGGUGGGGUAGUGGCUUACCAAGGCUUUGACGGGUAGCCGGCCUGAGAGGGUGACCGGCCACAUUGGGACUGAGAUACGGCCCAGACUCCUACGGGAGGCAGCAGUGGGGAAUAUUGCACAAUGGGCGGAAGCCUGAUGCAGCAACGCCGCGUGCGGGAUGACGGCCUUCGGGUUGUAAACCGCUUUCGCCUGUGACGAAGCGUGAGUGACGGUAAUGGGUAAAGAAGCACCGGCUAACUACGUG